GUCCUUUAUUAUUUUGCUUUGGUAAUUUAGUUUAUGAUGACUUUUAUACUCAUAAAGCUAGAUUACCAAAGCAUGAUUGAAAGGAAA